CUUCACCCUGGCCUAUCUGAAGAUGCCCACGUAUUGGAGACCAUCUUCCUCUGCCUUCUUCUCAUCUCUUUCUUACUUUCUUUUUCUCUCAGCUAUAGAAGUAAAUUAGAUGAAGAAGCAAGUGGGAAGUUGGCAGCCUGGGUGCUUUCGGGCUUGUUGGAGCUGCCAUAGUGGGAAACUUCGUCUUGAUAGCUUAAACCUGAGGAAAUUCUAGAAGGGACUGUGGAGUUGAGUUUUGUUGAUGAAGUGGCUGUCGGGUUGGACUUUUGGGCGCCCGAAUUAAAAAGGGACCAGGUGGAGUUGGUGCUCGAGUGAAUUGCUUUGGUGUGCCGAGCUGUAGAAAGGAGAUUGAGCUGAGUGCAGCUUGGUGGAUCUUCGAAUUCAGUAGGGAUGAAAUUGGAGGUUGGACAAGAUCGGAAGUUUGAAUUGGUAUUUUGACGGACCUACGACGCGCUAGUUAAAUAACGCUUCGUUCUAGCUUUGUUGGCGUCGAGUUGCGAGGGCUAGUUGUUGAUACGUUCCGAGACGUUGGUUCUAGUCUUGGCAUCCCUACAAGUGGGUUGUGCUUCACCGAAGCAAUUAGGUCGCUUCCAUGCCAAAGUAAAGUAUAAUUAUUAUUGAUGCAUAUAUAUAUAGUGGUAGGUUGAGAUUAAUAAUGUGAAUGCAUGAAACAUGUUGUAGUAGUUAAUAGUACCUACCAUUGGAAUAUGCAUAUGAAUACAUUGUAGUUCAUGCUAUAUGAGAUGUGAAUGUUGACAUAUUAUGAACAUGCUAGAUGCAUAUGAGUUGGAAAUGGGUCGAUAACUCUAGGUCGAUUAGAGCAUCCGACAGUUGUAAAAUGAGAAUGUGUGAAUUAUAAUCCUAGAUAUGGACAACUAGGAUAAGACAUAGAUCGAGUGGCAUGAACCUAGUAUUAUUAAACAAAGGUUGGACAUGAACCU